UACGGAGGGGGCUAGCGUUGUUCGGAAUUACUGGGCGUAAAGGGCGCGUAGGCGGACUGUUAAGUCGGGGGUGAAAUCCUGAGGCUCAACCUCAGAAUUGCCUCCGAUACUGGCGGUCUCGAGUGCGGGAGAGGUGAGUGGAAUUCCCAGUGUAGAGGUGAAAUUCGUAGAUAUUGGGAGGAACACCAGUGGCGAAGGCGGCUCACUGGCCCGCAACUGACGCUGAGGGGCGAAAGCGUGGGGAGCAACAGG
rnacentral:misc_RNA from 1 species